rnacentral:lncRNA from 1 species
AGACAGGGUCUUGCUCUGUCACCUAGUCUGGAGUCCAGUGGCGCCAUCUCGGCUCACUGCAACCUCUGCCUCCUGGAUUCUCCUGCCUCAGCCUCCCAAGUAGCUGGGACUACAGGCACAUGCCACCAUACCCAGCUAAUUUUUGUAUUUUGGGUGGAGAUGGGGUUUCGCCAUAUUGCCCAGGCUGGUCUUGAAUUCCUGGGCUCAAAUGAUCUGCCCGCCUUGGCCUCCCAAAGUGCUGAGAUUACAGGCAUGAGCCACCACGCCCAGCCUUUUCUAGCUUGUCUAUCAUCCAUCACUAUAACUACUCCUUCCCUCUGUCUCCUCCCAUUGUGCUUGCCUGGCAAAGCCCUACUCCACAUAAAUUCAACCAUUUGCUUUCCGAGUGCUUUUGCUACAGCAAAAUCACAAUACCAGGCAGGUUAUCUUCACUCAUGUUCAUGAUCCUAACCUCAAACGGACUGUCAAUACUGCUGGGUAAUUCCUACUACGUUUCCCCAUUAAGUUUGCUUUUCCACUCUCAAGAAGAAUUUUUUCCCUAGGCUCUCUCUGCAAAACCUCUACCCCUCUCAUCUUAGCUGAUGACCUAGCCACCAUGUUACUAAGGAAAUAGAAGCAAUAGGAAAUACCCUGUCAUUCCUACCACAGCCUACAAACCCAUCUGCAUCUCCGCCUACUUACAUCUGUCUCCUCCUAGUGCUCUGAGAAGUGGAUGUCCCUUUGCUAAAGACUAGCCAAUCCUGGCCAGGCACAGUGGCUCACACCUAUAAUCCCAGGAGUUUGGGAGGCCAAGGCAGGCAGAUUGCUUGAGCCCAGGAGUUUGAGACCAGCCUGGGCAAUGUAAAGAGACCCCCAUCUCUACAAAAAAAUGUAAAAAAUUAGCCAGGCGUGCUGAUACACCCCUGUAGUCCCAGCUACUUGGGAGGCUGAGGUAGGAGGAUAGCUUGGGCCCAGGAGGUUGAGGCUACAGUGAGCUGUGAUCAUGCCACUGCACUCCAGCCUGGAUGACCCUGUCUAUAAAAAAAAAAAAAAAAAAAAAAAAAAAAAAAAAAAAAACUAGCCAAUAAAAACUAGCCAAUCCCACGGCAAAACCUAUGGAACUUCCUCUCUCCCAUCUUCAAGGACCUAGUUCCUAAAAUCUAAAUCUCCCCCUUCAGCACACAAACAUGCUCUCUAGUCUUUAAAAAAUAGUAACACAGGCUGGGUGCAGUGGCUCACGCCUGUAAUCCCAGCACUUUGGGAGGCCGAGGCGGGCAGAUCACAAGAUCAGGAGUUCAAGACCAACCUGACCAAUAUAGUGAAACCCCGCCUCUACUAAAAAUACAAUAAUUAGCCAGGCAUGGUGGCACACACCUGUAGUCCCAGCUACUCAGGAGGCUGAGGCAAGAGACUCACUUGAACCCAGGAGGUGGAGGUUGCAGUGAGCCAAGAUUGCUCCACUGCAUCCCAGCCUGGGCGACAGAGCGAGACUCUGUCUCAAAAAAAAAAAAAAAAAAAAAAGUAACAUAGUCACUCUGGAAAACAGUUUGGCAUUUUCUUAAAAAACUAAACAUGCAGCUACCACAUGACCAAGAAAUUGCAUGCCUGGGCAUUUAUCCCAGAGAAAUGAAGACUUAUGUUCACACAAAAACCGGUACAUAUAUGUUCAUAGCAGCUUUAUCCAUAAUAAUAGCAAAAACUUAAAAUUAGCUCAGGUAUCCUUCAGUAGGUGAAUGGUUAAAGAAACCAUGGUGCAUCCACACCAUGGAAUAUUGCUCAGCAACAAACAGGAAUGAACUAUCAACACACAGCAACUUGGAUGACUCUCCAAGGAAUUAUGCUGGUUAUUUGUUGUUGUUUUGAGACAGGGUCUCACUCUGUGGCCCAGACUGGCAUGUAGUGGCAUGAUCACAGUUCACUGCAGCCUCACCUCUAACUUCCAAUCUCAAGUGAUCCUCCCACCUCAGCCUCACAAGUAGCUGGGACUAUAAGUGUGCACCACAUCAGGCUAAUUUUUUUAUUUUUUGUAGAGAUGGGAUCUCACUAUGUUGCCCAGGCUGGUCUGAAACUCCUGGAAUCAAGCAAUCCUCCUGCCGCAUCCUCCCAAAGUGCUGGGAUUACAGACAUGAGCCAACGAGCCUGGCCCUGAUUUUAAAAAGGUUACAUACUGUAUGAUUCUAUUUAUAUAACAGCUUGUUUUUUUGUUUUUGUUUUUUGAGACACAGUCUCGCGCUGUAGCCCAUGCUGGAGUGCAGUGGCGCAAUCUCGGCUCACUGCAAGCUCUGCCUCCUGGGUUCAUGCCAUUCUCCUGCCUCAGCCUCCCUCCCAAGUAGCUGGGACUACAGGUGCCCGCUACCACGCCUGGCUAAUCUUUUGUAUUUUUAGUAGAGACGGGGUUUCACCGUGUUAGCCAGGAUGGUCUCGAUCUCCUGACCUCGUGAUCCGCCCACCUCAGCCUCCCAAAGUGCUGGGAUUACAGGCGGGAGUCACCACGCCCAGCCUGGUUUUUUUGUUUUUUGAGACAGGGUCUCGUUCUGUCACCCACGUUGGAGUGCAGUGGCACAAUCUCGUCCACUGCAGCCUUCGCCUCCUGGGUUCAAGCAAUUCUCCUGCCUCAGCCUCCUGAGUAGCUGUGAUUACAGGUGUGUACCACCAUGACUGGCUAAUUUUUUUAUUUUUAGGAGAGACGGGGUUUCACCAUGUUGGCCAGGCUGGUCUUGAACUUCUGGCCUCAGAUGAUUCACCUGCCUCGGGCUUCCAAAGUGCUGGGAUUACAGGUGUGAGCCACCGCACCCGGCCUUAUAUAACGGUUUUUGAAAUGACAAAAUUUUCGACCGGGCAUGGUAGCUCACGCCUAUAAUCCUAGCACUGUGGGAGGCCGAGAUGGGCAGAUCACCUGAGGCCAGGAGUUUGAGACCAGCCUGGUCAAUAUGGCAAAACCCCAUCUCUACCAAAAAUUUAAAAAAAUCAGUCACUGUGGUGGUGGGCACCUAUAAUCUCAGUUACUCGGAAGGCUGAGGCAGGAGAAUCUCUUGAACCCGGAAGGCGUAGGUUGCAGUGAGCCAAGAUUGCUCCAUUGCUUCCAGCCUGGACAACAAAAGCGAAAUUCCAUCCCCCCAAAAAAAAAAGAGAGAGAUAACAAAAUUUUCAAAAUGAAGGUUGCCAGGAGUUUGGAAUGGGGCCUGGGAGGAGUCAGGAGGGAAACACGUGUGGAUAUCAAAGGGCAACCCUGAGGGAUCUUUGUGGUAUUGGAACUGUUCAGCAGUGGAGGAUAUACGAACCUACAUGUGUGAUGAAAUUGUAUUGAACUACACACCCAUACACACACACACACACACACACACUCACACACUAGUACAAAUAAAACUGGGGACAUCUGAGUAAGUUUGGUGGAUUUUAUCAAUGUCGAUAUCCUGGUUAUGAUACUGUGCGAUAGUUUUGUAGAAUGCUACCACUGGGGUAACUGGGAAAAGUGUGUAAGGGAUCUCUCACUAUUACUUCUUAUUGCAUGUAAGUCUACAAUUACCUCAAUAAAGCGUUUUUUUGUUUUUUUUUUUUUGAGACGGAGUCUCACUCUGUCACCCAGGCUGGAGUGCAGUGGUGCAAUCUCGGCUCACGGCAAGCUCCGCCUACCGGGUUCAUGCCAUUCUCCUGCCUCAGCCUCCCGAGUAGCUGGGACUACAGGCGCCCGCCACCAUGCCCGGCUAAUUUUUUUGUAUUUUUAGUGGAGAUGGUCUCGAUCUCCUGACCUCGUGAUCCGCCUGCCUUGGCCUCCCAAAGUGCUGGGAUUACAGGCGUGAGCCACCGUGCCCAGCCUUUUUUUCUCUUUUUGAGAUAGAGUCUUGCUGUGCUGCCCAUGCUGGAGUGCAGUGGCACCGUCUUGGCUCACUGCAACCUCUGCCUCCCGAGUUCAAGCAAUUCUUGUGCCUCAGCCUCCUGGGUAGCUGGGAUUACAGGUGUACGCCACUACACCCAACUACUUUUUUUUUUUUUUUUUUUUUGAGACAGUUUUGCCCUUGUUGCCCAGGCUAGAGUGCAAUGGCGUGAUCUCGGCUCACUGCAACCUCCACCCCCCAGGUUCAAGCAAUUAUCCUGCCUCACCCUCCCGAGUAGCUGUGAUUACAGGCAUGCACCAUCACUCCUGGCUAAUUUUUGUAUUUUUAGUAGAGACAGGGUUUUACUACGUUGGCCAGGCUGGUCUCGAACUCUGGAUCUCAGGUGAUCUGCCCGCCUCGGCCUCCCAAAAUGCUGGGAUUACAGGCAUGAGC